AGCCUUAUAUUCACUCUUGUGAUGUUAGAAUGCAAUUCUGAAGGGAUGGGAGUAGGUGCCCGUUAAGGCCU
rnacentral:tRNA from 1 species